rnacentral:rRNA from 1 species
GGUACGGGGGGCAAGCGUUGUUCGGAAUUACUGGGCGUAAAGGGCUCGUAGGCGGCCAACUAAGUCAGACGUGAAAUCCCUCGGCUUAACCGGGGAACUGCGUCUGAUACUGGAUGGCUAGAGGUUGGGAGAGGGAUGCGGAAUUCCGGGUGGAGUGGGUGAAAUGCGUAGAGAUCCGGAGGAACACCAGAGGCGAAGGCGGCCUACUGGGCGUGCACCUGACGCUGAGCCGCGAAAGCCAGGGGAGCGAACGGGAUUAGAGUA